rnacentral:rRNA from 1 species
AACGAACGCUGGCGGCAUGCCUAACACAUGCAAGUCGAACGAGAUCUUCGGGUCUAGUGGCGCACGGGUGCGUAACGCGUGGGAAUCUGCCCUUUGGUUCGGAAUAACAGUUGGAAACGACUGCUAAUACCGGAUGAUGACGAAAGUCCAAAGAUUUAUCGCCAGAGGAUGAGCCCGCGUAGGAUUAGCUAGUUGGUGGGGUAAAGGCGCACCAAGGCGACGAUCCUUAGCUGGUCUGAGAGGAUGAUCAGCCACACUGGGACUGAGACACGGCCCAGACUCCUACGGGAGGCAGCAGUGGGGAAUAUUGGACAAUGGGCGAAAGCCUGAUCCAGCAAUGCCGCGUGAGUGAUGAAGGCCUUAGGGUUGUAAAGCUCUUUCACCGGAGAAGAUAAUGACGGUAUCCGGAGAAGAAGCCCCGGCUAACUUCGUGCCAGCAGCCGCCGUAA